AUUGAACGCUGGCGGCAUGCCUUACACAUGCAAGUCGAACGGCAGCGGGGGAGAAGCUUGCUUUUCCUGCCGGCGAGUGGCGAACGGGUGAGUAAUACAUCGGAACGUGCCCUGUAGUGGGGGAUAACUAGUCGAAAGAUUAGCUAAUACCGCAUACGACCUGAGGGUGAAAGUGGGGGACCGCAAGGCCUCAUGCUAUAGGAGCGGCCGAUGUCUGAUUAGCUAGUUGGUGGGGUAAAGGCCUACCAAGGCGACGAUCAGUAGCUGGUCUGAGAGGACGAUCAGCCACACUGGGACUGAGACACGGCCCAGACUCCUACGGGAGGCAGCAGUGGGGAAUUCUGGACAAUGGGCGAAAGCCUGAUCCAGCAAUGCCGCGUGUGUGAAGAAGGCCUUCGGGUUGUAAAGCACUUUUGUCCGGAAAGAAAUGGCUCUGGUUAAUACCUGGGGUCGAUGACGGUACCGGAAGGAUAAGGACCGGCUAACUACGUGCCAGCCGCCGCGGUAA
rnacentral:rRNA from 1 species